rnacentral:lncRNA from 1 species
ACCAAAUCCUCAAGAAGAGCAUUCCUCUGCAGAUCGCGGAAGAGCCAGGGCUGUUUGUCAGAGGUCAGGUGGGCUAUGAUACCUGCAGCAAAAUAGCUCACUUCUAUUUCUUUGCUAUGAAGUAAACUGCUGAUAUGCUUCAUCACAUCUUCAGUCACCAGCUUGGAAGAAAACUCUCUGACUUCAGCUAUGUUGUUCUACAGGUCACAUGAAGCAGUGAACAUCAGGGACAGGAAGGGAGGAGAAUAAGGAAUUAGCUUUUCUCUCUUUCCUACUGCUCAUCUCAGAUCCCGCCCAACAGCCUAAUCCCCAAAUCCCACCCCUUUAGCAUGAGCAUGAUCAUUACAAAUAAAUCACCACAUGAGCACUUGCUCAGUACCAGGCAUACUACUAGGUAAAUGUCUUUUUCUAACUGCCUUAUCUCUCAUUUAAUACAAGAAUCAGGUUCACAUUACUCAUAACUGCAUGAAUUAAAACACAAAACCAGGCCUGACAAACAACAUAAUCAGGGGUCUGCUAGAUGUUACAUUAUCUUGACAAGUUUAACAAUAGGCAGGUAAUAUUUGUUUUAUUAUGUUGCAUUAUUUAAUUUUCAAUGCUGUGUAACAAAUUACCAUAAACUUAGUGGCUUAAAAUAAUAUGAAUUUACCUCCUCACUGUUUCUGUGGAACAGGAAUCUGAGCGGGGUCCUCUUUCUACUCUGAGAUCUCCUAAGGCUGAAUUUCUCAAGUGCAAUCUCCACUGAUGCUGGCAGAAUUUGUUUCUUGUGGCUGUAGGACUGAGAGAUCCAGUCUCUUGCUAAAAGCCACCUUGAGUUCCAAGAGGUUGCCCAGUUCCUUGAAAUGUGGGUGUCUCCCUUUUCCAACUACUAACUUCAAUAUAUUUUGCUCCUUUCGAGUUAGAAGCAAGAGUCCUUAAAGUGUGUUUACUAGCAAGAUGGAUUCAUAAAUACAUUGUAACAUAAUAAGGAUGUGAUAACCUAUCAUCUUUGCCAUAUUCUAGCUGUUAGAAGCAAGUUAACAGGUCCUGUUCACACUCCAGGAGAAGAGGACAUUACAAAGAGAAACAAAUACAGGAGGUUGAAAUCAUUGGUCAGUCACUUGGGGUCUGACCACACAACUGAAAAAGCAAAGGUUUGAAGAGUCAAAGUAAAUAGAACAGUUACUUAAAUCAAUGCUAACUUCUGCUAUUGCUUCAGCAACUUCCUAGAAAGUACACCAUGGACACUAGUUUGCUGAAAAGAACAAAGGAAAGUAGAGGUGAAAUUGUACUGUUUUUGAGAAUCCCCUCAACCUCAGCUCCUUUUUUUCCAGAGAUGAGAUAUGACCCUUGUAAGGGUUAGGUCUAUUAUAUUGUUUGGAUUUAAUGUCUAAUAGACCAAACAAUAUAAAUCUUUGGAAGUCUGAAAGGCUCAAAAAUAUUUUAAAAAAUGGAAAAUCUAAAUUUUUUCCCUUGUCCUCCCCAUCUUUGGACAAGUGCUGGGGAUCAAACCUGUGACCCUGAACAUGCUAGGCAAGUACUCUUGUCACUGAGCUAGCUAUUAACUAGCUAGUAAGAUAUAUAAGGCUUUAGUCCAACUUUCUGGUAUUAUUUCCCAUAGCUAGUCUCUUUUCCAGUUUCUCCCAAAAUUUCAAUUCUGAAAUUUUCUGUUUCGUAGUAUCUCUUUAAUGAUUAUAUUGUCUCUAGCCAAAAAUGACUUUUGUCCCUACCUUCUGCUUUUCUGUAACUUUUUGAUUUCCAACAAUAAUCAUUUAUCCCUCACUGUGAUGCCUUUCACAUCUACUGUGUUGUGAGUCCUAUAGGUGCCAGGUAUAUGAAGAGUAUAAGUCACAAUCCUCAUUUUCAAGAAGUUUAUGAUUAGAAGCAAAGGCUCCCACAGGACUUAUGCUUCUCUUCUAGCAAUACAAGAUGCAGUCUUCAAGGAGAGAGCUGUGUACACAGGUCUAACACUACCUCCUAAACUUGGAAAGUAUAUGUACACUCAGCCUGAAAGAUUUAUUUGUUGUAUCUCCCACUGCACUCAGCAUGACAAAAUAAAGGUAUGCAUGGUACAUUUUUA